GGCCGGUUGGCUCAGUUGGUUAGAGUGCAGUGCUUGUAACACAAGGUUGUGGGUUUGAUUCCCACAUGGGCCA